AACUACUUCGGCAAGCUAUCUGCUAAAAUUGAAACAAUACAGAAAAUAUUAGCAUGGCACCUGCGCAAGGAUGUGACGCAAAAUAGUCAGACGUUCCACAUUUUU
rnacentral:snRNA from 1 species